rnacentral:rRNA from 2 species
CGUUGGGAGCUUGCUCCCUUCGUUUAGCGGCGGACGGGUGAGUAACACGUGGGCAACCUGCCCUGCAGAUCGGGAUAACUCCGGGAAACCGGUGCUAAUACCGAAUAGUUUUUUGCCCCUCCUGGGGCGGAACGGAAAGACGGUUUCGGCUGUCACUGCAGGAUGGGCCCGCGGCGCAUUAGCUAGUUGGUGGGGUAACGGCCCACCAAGGCGACGAUGCGUAGCCGACCUGAGAGGGUGAUCGGCCACACUGGGACUGAGACACGGCCCAGACUCCUACGGGAGGCAGCAGUAGGGAAUCUUCCGCAAUGGACGAAAGUCUGACGGAGCAAUGCCGCGUGAGUGACGAAGGUUUUCGGAUCGUAAAACUCUGUUGUAAGGGAAGAACAAGUACCAAGUAACUACUGGUACCUUGACGGUACCUUACCAGAAAGCCACGGCUAACUACGUGCCAGCAGCCGCGGUAAUACGUAGGUGGCAAGCGUUGUCCGGAAUUAUUGGGCGUAAAGCGCGCGCAGGCGGUCCCUUAAGUCUGAUGUGAAAGCCCACGGCUCAACCGUGGAGG